UUCCCCUACGGGGCGCAGCAGUGGGGAAUAUUGCGCAAUGGGGGAAACCCUGACGCAGCAACGCCGCGUGAAGGAUGACGGCCUUCGGGUUGUAAACUUCUGUCGCAGAGGAAGAAGAAAGUGACGGUACUCUGUGAGAAAGCCACGGCUAACUACGUGCCAGCAGCCGCGGUAAUACGUAGGUGGCGAGCGUUGUCCGGAUUUACUGGGUGUAAAGGGCGCGUAGGCGGAUUUGCAAGUCAGAUGUGAAAUACCGGGGCUUAACUCCGGAACUGCAUUUGAAACUGUAGACCUUGAGUGCCGGG
rnacentral:rRNA from 1 species